UACGGGGGGGCUAGCGUUGCUCGGAAUCACUGGGCGUAAAGGGUGCGUAGGCGGGUCUUUAAGUCAGGGGUGAAAUCCUGGAGCUCAACUCCAGAACUGCCUUUGAUACUGGGAGCUUGAGUCCGGGAGAGGGAUGCGGAAUUCCAGGUGUAGCGGUGAAAUGCGUAGAUAUCUGGAGGAACACCGGUGGCGAAGGCGGCAUCCUGGACCGGUAUUGACGCUGAGGCGCGAAAGCCAGGGGAGCAAACGGG
rnacentral:rRNA from 1 species